GGGAGCGGGAGUGAGAGAGAAGGAGACAGAACCGUAGUGCGCGCGCUGUAUCUCGGUAUCUGUCAGUGCACUCUUUCCUGCUGCCUGCCUGAAAACCGUCAGCGGUUACAUAGUGAGCAGCAGCAACAGAGCGAGCCCCCUCGUCACGAGAGAACAGCUUGUGUCGCCCUGUGGACUCCCUCCAAAAGAAAAAGAGAGACAGAAAUAAAAGUGGGGACAGAGACAAAGAGAAAGAGACGUACUUUGUCCUAUUGCCGGGAACGCCGGCCACCCACUUUCACCCUUAACCAUUAUUACUGAGUUUUCGAAAUACAUUUGUCCCAUAACCCUCUCGUACGAGCGCACACAGCCGUUAUUAUUCCUGGGCAACAGUCUUUCUGCUGAUUAUCGCGACGAAACUAAGGGACCAACGAAAAUUCGGUUUCCAGAACUUUUUUUGAGGUUAGGAAUCAUUUUUUGGGCGGGUGACGGUAAAUUACGGGUUUUGGCGAACAAUCGAUUUUUGUACAGAAGAAAAUCGACGAGUUUUCGACAUUUCAAGGCUUUCGUUUUAAAUAUUCAGACAAGACUAAGGAAUUAUGUGAAAUUGGAAUUUUUAUAAGCAAAUCAAAUAAUAACGGAUGGUGAGAAAUAAUGAAAAAAUUGUAUGAAUUAAGGGGAAAUUCAGAAAAUGAAAUUGUACAUUCGAAAUUCCGAGACACACUGCAUCGUCUUUAUCGGCUAUUUGUUUCGCGAAAACGUUCAAUAAUUUGACUUAUCGUUUGGUUGAAUAUAGAGAAGAGCAGCACCCGCGAUACGAUACGAAACGUCAUGACAUUACGCCGUUUAUACAUGGGGUUCAACCGUUCGGAACGUAUCGGUAACAAGUUCGACUCGCUUUCUAUAAAUAAACGGCCGAUAAGGAGAGUGCUCGAAAAAGACCCUCGUGAGAGGUUUCGGUGCAGCAAAUCGUUUGUUCAUUUCUCGCCAACUUCAUCGAGGCUUGCCAACCCGGUAUAAAGCUCUCUUUCUAUCUUGAUUUCUUUCUCUCACUGGCGGAGUUCUAUUAGAACUCGAUAACGAUCGUCCUCCUGGUCCUUGGCCGUCUUUUCGACAAUUCACUCCUCGAGGUAUUCAGAUCUCCGAGGCUGCUGCACGUUCCAAUGGAAAAGCCGUUUUCUCGGGAACGAGAUGAAUUUAAUUGAUUGUGAAGCUACGUCGAAGUCUGCUGAUAUCUUAUCGUCACGAGUUUCGAUGAUAUUUCCUCAAUUCCAAUUCCCAAAUGCUCUUCUGACAGUAAACUUGGCAGAGUCUUCGACCUGGAAUGAGUUUUUCCCUUUUUUCAUGUUUUCUUUCAAAUUUACAGAUUUUCUCGAUCUCAUUUGACAAUUGAUGAUCAAUCAAUGGUGGAGGCAACUAUCAAAUUUAAUACGAAAGUGAAUUUUUGAGGCUCGAGCCAGAACUGGCACAUCGGGGUAGAGGAAAAAAUAACAAAAUAUUUGACUCUGCCAUUAGCCUCGAAAAGCUGUCGGAAUUUCUCGAGCCUUGACCCAAAAUUUGCAAUUUGAAAUAAACCGCGACAUAAAAACAUGCUCUUCAAAACGAAACUUGAAACCUUGAAUUCUGGAGUGUGAAGUCGAAAAUUCAGAGCGAGUUUUUCAUGCCAGCGGAGAAGAAGAGAACGAUGAAGAAGAAUCGAUCACGAAAGUAUAGAAAACUGAGAUUUCUUCGUUGAAUUUGCACUCGAAAUUAUCCGUUCGUACUUCCCGUCAAUAUUCCCAUCGUGACGUAUAAGGACGCGAAUGGAAGAUACAAACAUCGAAUUAGAGGAUGGAAAACUUGGAGAACGAAUAGACGAGACAAAAUUUACAGCUACAAAGUAGCGAGCGGAGGAUUUAUGGUCAGCUCGUUCGAUUAUGGCAGUGAGAGAUGAAGAGCAAGAGGAAAGAAUCAGGGAGAGCGAAAGAGAGAUGAAUCAAACGGUCUUUCGGUCUUUCGGUCGGUCGGUCGAUCGGUCGAGGCCCAGCCGGCCGGCUGUACGAGCGAGAGGCCUCCUGGUCAACGGGGUGAGACGAAGGGAGGGAGAGAAGAGAGCGAGGGAGAGAUCGAAGACGGGAGGAGACAGAGAACUGUGGCACAGUAUACACGAUGCGAUUUUUUGUAGUAUCGCAUGAACAGCGAUCGUCCGUGUGAGAGAAAGAGCCGAAGAGAUAAAUAAAAAGAUAAGAGUUUCGGUGGGAAAGAGAGAGACGAGGAAAAGAUAGCGAAAAAAGGGACAAUCUCGAUCGCUCCUUUUAUAAAGUGGAACGGCGAAGUUUGUGCCGGAGGAUUCGCCGAAGAUCUACAGAUGGUAUCGAGACGAAUCGUCCUCGUAUCUGCAACUCUUUGCCAAGAAAAACUCAUCCAAUUGCUUUUUUUCCCUUCAUUCGUAUGUGUGUGUCUCUCUCUCUGUCUCUCUGCUUGUGUGCAGCAAUAAAUGGAGGCACGAACACACAUUUAUGGAAUAACAACGUGUAACGUGGACUCGGAGAGGCCUUGUCCCCCGAAGUCACGCAUUCAAGGUCGCCAACAUUCAGCCAGACAGCGAGUGAGCCUCGCGGCCUCGAUACGACCACUGGAAUAGAUGGAGCCACGAACUUGCGUACCCUUUUCCUCCGUUUCUUCUACAGCUCUAGAAUUAUACACAUUAUAUAUAUACACAUAUACAUAUGGACAGGAAUAAAUAUACGGAUGGAAUUUAAUCGAGACAUUGCGGGGGUUGAAACCGGAAAAUAUCCGUAACAAUCUCAUUUGCAUGAGACGAAAACGCCUCGAAGGUGAGAACUUGAAUUGCAAAUUAUGACCUAUCGCAUGCAGCUAUAACAACGAAAAUUUCAAUGUUUUCAGUACUUCUGUAUCUAAGAAGGUAUCAUUGAAACCUACAGCAUUAACGAACAUGGCUAGUCUAAUUGCACAUUGAAAGAUUAAUGAAAAUAUCAAGAGGGAAACAGAAUCCGGUCCAAUUUUUCAAUUGCAGGAAAAUGUUUUUCCGUGGUUAUUUAAAAAUUCGAUAUUUCAUGAUUCCGACGCGAGAAUACGACGUUGGAGAGAAUUUCGGCCGAGACUUCUUGAGGAAUUUUCAUAAGAAAAAAUUGUUUCCAAUAUUGCAAUAAAAAAAAAUGUCUCGCAACUGCUGUACGUUUGUCACGCUUCCUCGGCCGAAAACUUUCCACAACACACGUUUUCCACGUUCAACAUGUAUCUAAAAAAGACAAAAAUAAUAUUGAGUUUCUAGACAAAGCAAGACUUAUGAAAAAAUGAUGACAAGAUUGAUAGUAAAUGAUUAAAUACAAUAUGCAAUUAAGCUGAAGGAGUAUUCUGCGGCAUACGUACCGAGAAUCGAGCAUAAUCCGUCGAGAGAUUGCACAAACUACCUGGGGUUCGAACUAUGACUUUCGGAAUGCGAGUGUGCAAAAAGUGUUGGACAAAAAAACAGAAUGAAAGAAAAGGUUUGAAAAGUGAAGGAAACCAAAGUAAAUGGGAGUCAAAGAAACACGAAAAUCAUUAAGUGCGCGUACGCCGAAUGGUUCAAUCAUUUUUUUUUUCUGGUCUCGAACAGGCUGCUCGAGACGACGGAAAUGACGACUGCGACGAGAACGAGUGACGUUUUCCAGCUGCUCGCAAAAAAUUUCCAGUUUUCAAGGAAUUCGUAAGAGUUUAGAAAUUAUUGGUUUAAGGGACAACGAAAAAUUGGAAUAUAAAAUAAAAAUAAACGAACAAAAACAUAAACUCAAAA
rnacentral:misc_RNA from 1 species